rnacentral:misc_RNA from 1 species
UAUCCGUAGGUGAACCUGCGGAAGGAUCAUUAUUGUAUAACCGAGGUGCGAGGGCUGUCGCUGACCCGAAAGGUCGUGCACGCCCGAGUGCCCUCACACACAUCCAUCUCACCCCGAUGUGCACCACCGCGUGGGUUCCCCUUUGGCUUGUUCGGAGGGGGGCUUACGUUUUCACACAAACUUUGUAUGCAGUGUAGAAUGUAUUUUUUGUUUUUGCGAUCACGCAAUCAAUACAACUUUCAACAACGGAUCUCUUGGCUCUC